rnacentral:rRNA from 1 species
CCUACGGGAGGCAGCAGUGGGGAAUAUUGCGCAAUGGGCGAAAGCCUGACGCAGCGACGCCGCGUGAGGGAUGAAGGUCUUCGGAUCGUAAACCUCUGUCAGCAGGGAAGAACGGUCACUGUGCUAAUCAGCAGUGAAUUGACGGUACCUGCAAAGGAAGCACCGGCUAACUCCGUGCCAGCAGCCGCGGUAAUACGGAGGGUGCGAGCGUUAAUCGGAAUUACUGGGCGUAAAGCGCUCGUAGGCGGUAUGUCAAGUUCAGGGGGAAAUCCCCGGGCUAAACGUGGGAAAUGCCUGUGAAACUGGCAAACUGGAGUGUGUGAGAGGAUAGUGGAAUUCCAAGUGUAGGAGUGAAAUCCGUAGAUAUCUGGAGGAACAUCAGUGGCGAAGGCGACUAUCUGGCACAUAACUGACGCUGAGGAGCGAAAGCGUGGGUAGCAAACAGGAUUAGAUACCCGAGUAGUC